AUUGAACGCUGGCGGCAGGCCUAACACCUGCAAGUCGAACGAGUGGCGGACGGGUGAGUAAUGUCUGGGAAACUGCCUGAUGGAGGGGGAUAACUACUGGAAACGGUAGCUAAUACCGCAUACCAUCGGAUGUGCCCAGAUGGGAUUAGCUAGUAGGUGGGGUAAAGGCUCACCUAGGCGACGAUCCCUAUCUGGUCUGAGAGGAUGACCAGCCACACUGGAACUGAGACACGGUCCAGACUCCUACGGUAGGCAGCAGUGGGGAAUAUUGCACUAGGGGCGCUAGCCUGAUGCAGCCAUGCCGCGUGUGUGAAGAAGGCCUUCGGGUUGUAAAGUACUUGCAGCGGGGAGGCGUUACCCGCAGAAGAAGCACCGGCUAACGCCGUGCCAGCAGCCGCGGUAAUAC
rnacentral:rRNA from 1 species